AAGUGGGACUUUUUAAAAAGUCUUUUUACACAUUUUUCGCGAACAACUCUUUCCAUAUAUUUUUUAUUUCCUCGGGGCACUGUGUCUUUUUUGCGCAUUGUUCCAGGAAUGUUUUCAAACCCCAACCAACAAACUCAAAAUAAACAUAAACCAUGUUUAUCAUUUAUU
rnacentral:misc_RNA from 1 species